CGAAUACGAACCGUGAAAG
rnacentral:snRNA from 1 species